rnacentral:rRNA from 1 species
CAAAGGAGUGAUCCGGCAGAGGAUGGACAUGCGGCGCAUUAGCUAGUCGGCGGGGUAACGGCCCACCGAGGCUACGAUGCGUAGGGGUUCUGAGAGGAAGGUCCCCCACACUGGUACUGAGACACGGACCAGACUCCUACGGGAGGCAGCAGUGAGGAAUAUUGGUCAAUGGGCGGAAGCCUGAACCAGCCAAGUCGCGUGAGGGAAGACGGUCCUAUGGAUUGUAAACCUCUUUUGCAGGGGAGCAAGGCGCGGUACGUGUACCGCGAAGGAGAGUACCCUGAGAAAAAGCAUCGGCUAACUCCGUGCCAGCAGCCGCGGUAAUACGGAGGAUGCGAGCGUUAUCCGGAUUUAUUGGGUUUAAAGGGUGCGCAGGCGGACUGUUAAGUCAGCGGUAAAAUGUCGGUGCUCAACACCGGCCGGCCGUUGAAACUGGCAGCCUUGAGUGAGCGAGAAGUAUGCGGAAUGCGUGGUGUAGCGGUGAAAUGCAUAGAUAUCACGCAGAACUCCGAUUGCGAAGGCAGCAUACCGGCGCUCAACUGACGCUCAGGCACGAAAGCGUGGGUAUCGAACAGGCUUAGAUACCCUGGUAGUCCACGCAGUAAACGAUG